AUUGAACGCUGGCGGCAGGCCUAACACAUGCAAGUCGAACGAGUGGCGGACGGGUGAGUAAUGUCUGGGAAACUGCCUGAUGGAGGGGGAUAACUACUGGAAACGGUAGCUACUACCGCAUACCAUCAGAUGUGCCCAGAUGGGGUUAGCUUGUUGGUGGGGUAACGGCUCACCAAGGCGCCGAUCGCUAGCUGGGCGGAGAGGAUGACCAGCCACACUGGAACGGAGACAAGGUCCAGGCGCCUACGGGAGGCAGCAGUGGGGAAUAUUGCACAAUGGGCGAAAGCCUGAUGCAGCCAUGACGCGUGUAUGAAGAAGGCCUUCGGGUUGUAAAGUACUUUCAGCGGGGAGGCGUUAGCCGCAGAAGAAGCACCGGAUAACGCCGUGCCAGCAGCCGAGGUAAUAC
rnacentral:rRNA from 1 species